rnacentral:tRNA from 1 species
UCCUUGGUGGCUCAGAUGGUAAAGAAUUUGCCUGUAAUGCAAGAGACUCAGGUUUGAUCCCUGAGUUGGGAA